GGGCCUGUAGCUCAGAUGGUUAGAGCGAACGACUGAUAAUCGUUAGGUAGGUGGUUCGACUCCACUCAGGCCCA
rnacentral:tRNA from 1 species